rnacentral:rRNA from 1 species
ACCGGCAGCUCAAGUGGUGGCCAUUAUUAUUGGGCCUAAAGCGUUCGUAGCCGGUUUGAUAAGUCUCUGGUGAAAUCCCGCAGCUUAACUGUGGGACUUGCUGGAGAUACUAUCAGACUUGAGGUCGGGAGGGGUUAGGGGUACUCCCAGGGUAGGGGUGAAAUCCUAUAAGCCUGGGAGGAGCACCUGUGGCGAAGGCGGCUAACGGGAACGAACCUGACGGUGAGUAACGAAAGCCAGGGGCGCGAACUG